rnacentral:rRNA from 1 species
CCUACGGGAGGCAGCAGUAGGGAAUCUUCCGCAAUGGACGAAAGUCUGACGGAGCAACGCCGCGUGAACGAUGAAGGCCUUCGGGUCGUAAAGUUCUGUUGUUAGGGAAGAACAAGUGCUAGUUGAAUAAGCUGGCACCUUGACGGUACCUAACCAGAAAGCCACGGCUAACUACGUGCCAGCAGCCGCGGUAAUACGUAGGUGGCAAGCGUUGUCCGGAAUUAUUGGGCGUAAAGCGCGCGCAGGCGGUUUCUUAAGUCUGAUGUGAAAGCCCCCGGCUCAACCGGGGAGGGUCAUUGGAAACUGGGAAACUUGAGUGCAGAAGAGGAAAGUGGAAUUCCAAGUGUAGCGGUGAAAUGCGUAGAGAUUUGGAGGAACACCAGUGGCGAAGGCGACUUUCUGGUCUGUAACUGACGCUGAGGCGCGAAAGCGUGGGGAGCAAACAGGAUUAGAUACCCUGGUAGUCCACGCUGUAAACGAUGAGUGCUAAGUGUUAGAGGGUUUCGCCCUUUAGUGCUGAAGUUAACGCAUUAAGCAUCCGCCUGGGGAGUAGUCGCAGACAGAACGUACGAAGAAGUAGUACGGACGUGAGACGUAGACCGAACGACGACGACGAGGGAGGAGG